rnacentral:tRNA from 1 species
CACUAGAAAGCUAACUACUGGAUAAGCGUUGGCCUUUUAAGCCAAAGUUUGGUGCCUACCGACCACCUCUAGUGA